rnacentral:rRNA from 1 species
UACGUAGGGUCCGAGCGUUGUUCGGAAUUACUGGGCGUAAAGGGCUCGUAGGCGGUCCGUCACGUCGGGAGUGAAAACUCGGAGCUUAACUCCGAGCCUGCUUCCGAUACGGGCAGACUAGAGGUAGGCAGGGGAGAGCGGAACUCCUGGUGUAGCGGUGGAAUGCGCAGAUAUCAGGAAGAACACCCGUGGCGAAGGCGGCUCUCUGGGACGGUACUGACGCUGAGGCGCGAAGGUCAGGGGAGCAAACGGG